rnacentral:tRNA from 1 species
GUCUUCGUGGCUCAGUUGGUUAGAGCGUUGGUCUCAUAUCGCGUUCGAUUGUGAAGGUGUUACUCAUCUGAUAUCCAAAGGUCGCGAGUUUGAGUCUCGCUGAGGACA